rnacentral:rRNA from 1 species
ACUAGAGUAGCACUCGCAUAUCAAUAAGCGGAGGAAAAGAAAACUAACAAGGAUUCCCCUAGUAACGGCGAGUGAAGCGGGAAGAGCUCAAAUUUGAAAUCUUAAAGGGUUUCCCUUUACGAAUUGUAGUUUAAGAGAAGUGUUUUCUGUUGAGGUUUUGGUAAAAGUUCUUUGGAAUAGGACAUCAUAGAGGGUGAGAAUCCCGUAUUUGACCUUUACUUUCAACUUUGUGAUACACUUUCAAAGAGUCGGAUUGUUUGGGAAUGCAGUCCAAAAUGGGUGGUAAAUUUCAUCUAAAGCUAAAUAUUGGCGAGAGACCGAUAGCGAACAAGUACCGUGAGGGAAAGAUGAAAAGAACUUUGAAAAGAGAGUUAAACAGUACGUGAAAUUGUCAAAAGGGAAGCGUUUGACACCAGUGUUGUUUUUCUGAAAAUCAAUUAAAGAACUGUUUAUGCUAAGUUGUUUAGACUUUAUCAGCUAAUCUGCUUAGUUUUUGAGCUUUUCUUUAAUGCACUUUUCAGUUAACAAGUCAACAUCAAUUUCUUUUGCUGUAAAAAAGCUUGAGGAAGGUGGCUUGAGAUUCGUCUUAAGUGUUUAUAGCCUCUUGCCUAUGCAGUCGGAGAGAUUGAGGUCUGCAGCGUAGAUCCUUCGGGGCUAAAUGCAUUUGUGCUAAGUUAUAGCAUUUUAUAGACAACUUGUUGACUAUGAUUUGUCUUGUAGCUUACUCGCUUAUGUUAUUUUACCUACGCUUAGGAUGUUGAACUACUGAGACAUAGA